GGUCAAGCGAACAAGUGCAUGUGGUGGAUGCCUUGGCGAUCACAGGCGAUGAAGGACGCGGUAGCCUGCGAAAAGCCCCGGGGAGCUGGCAAACAAGCUUUGAUCCGGGGAUGUCCGAAUGGGGAAACCCACUCCUUAUGGAGUAUCCAUGACUGAAUACAUAGGUCAUGUGAAGCGAACGCGGUGAACUGAAACAUCUAAGUAACCGCAGGAAAAGAAAUCAACCGAGAUUCCCAAAGUAGUGGCGAGCGAAAUGGGAUGAGCCUUGUACUCUUUAUUUGUAUUGUUAGCCGAACGCUCUGGAAAGUGCGGCCAUAGCAGGUGAUAGCCCUGUAGGCGAAAACAGUAU
rnacentral:rRNA from 1 species